GCCACAAUGGCGGCGGCACGUCACGGCGGGGCGUCGUGCCCUGCCUGCCUGCCUGCCUGCCUGCCUGCCUGCCUGCCUGCCUGCCGCGGGCGUACCCAGCGCGAGGGGCCCGCGGCCUCAGGCCGGCCGGGUUGGGGUCGUUGGGACGCCAAGAUUCUGAAAGGAGUCAUGUUUCCGUGCCUUGUGCCGCCGGCCGCACAGGGGAGGUAACAGCUCCAGUUCCUGUGGGCAUUCUCCUGACAAAGCAUUCCCUCAUUCACAUACAUCUAACAUCUCAAGUGCCAGCUACUUCCAGACCACUGGAUCCACAGCGUAAUGGACACAAUGCCGUGGGCCAGCGUGGAAUUACUGGGAACAUCAGGAGCAUCAAGCCCUCUACACCGUCUGACAACAGCACCACCUGACAGCCAAGGCAAUGCCUGAGGGGUCCUGGGAGCAGCCACCAACGGGUGCCCAGGGGAGGCAGUGGCACCCUAGCAGACAGCCUGGCAGGUGCUUAGGAUUGCAGGGAAGCCGCCCACAUGCACCAGACAUCAGCCCAGCUGCCAAGGACAAGAGGACCAGGAUGGCACCCGGGCGUUGAAAUUUUAAGUUUACUGACAUUUUUUUUUUUUUAAGAUUUUAUUUAUUCAUUCAUGAUAGACAUUGGGGGGGGGGGGGCGCAGAGACACAGGCAGAGGGAGAAGCAGGCUCCAGGCCAGGAGCCCGAUGCGGGACACGAUCCCGGGACUCCAGGAUCAUAUCCUGGGCUGAAGGCAGGUGCUAAGCCACUGAGCCACCCAGGGAUCCCCGAGUUUACUGACAUUUUAUGUUUAGAUUAAUCUGUGAAUUCUUGUUUUUGAAUAAAAAGACAACUAUCAAGAGAUGUUUUACACAAGAGGAAUCAUUUUAAUUUUCUUCAAAAAAGUCAUAAUACAAAGAAGCACGUUAGGACUGAGGGGAAGCAAGCAUACUGGCAAUUUAAAUUCUUCCUCCUCAGUCUCCAUGACCAACUGUGUAACACAAGGCGCGCACAAGCUGCUGCGCAGCCCAGGGAUAGCCCGUGGAGAGUCUGAAGCCCCAGCUGGUGUGGGGCCUCCACCUGCUCUGCCCCUUCACAGACCGAGAAGUACAGCCUGACUCACAAGGGGAUGUCCUCAGCCAUGGCCAAGGCCACAUCAUGGCAAAAGCAACUCAUGCUAUAUGGACGAACUGGCUGGAGAACAGGCUAGAGAAGAGAGCCAGCUGGGCAGACAUUUAAACUGAGUCAGGUGCGGAAAUGGAGGAGGACGGUCUUCAAACUCAGCCUGCUUAGGGAUUGGUGCACCAACUGAAGUGUUACCAUAUGUAUGACAGAAAUGCCCUUGUGCAUUAUGUCUACACACCCCAUCUUCUUGCUUUAUAAAGAAAGGGGCAGAGAGAGAUGCAAAAGAGAAAUGCAGGAAGGCCCAGCUUGGCCACACACAGAUCUCUGUGGCAUCCCACAGCACCAGUACCCUGCCACUCGGUGAGCUGCUGCCUCCAGCCCCUCGGCCCCUCCAGCGCUAACCCUCCAACACUCAGCAUGCCCUCUACAUGCCUGUCUGUCCAGAGCUUUCACUUCUGUUGGGGAAGUCCCAAGAGUGUGGCGCUAGUUUCAAAAAGUGUGCAUCUUCAUAACUGGUAAAUAUCCCAAGACAUUCCCCUGACCAGAUUGUAGAUAUUCACAGUGCUGUCAGCCACCAGGAAGCCAGUCUCCCGAGGUCAGCACGGAAGCGACUAUCCUCCCUUCCUCCUUCACGCAAACCCAAUCAGUGCUACUGAGUGACUGGCUUAGGUGCUUUGUCCACAUUCCCAUUGUCUCUUUUCCUGGCAACUUUAGAAUCUCUUUGCAGGGUAGACAUAAUUUUAUCAUCUGUAUCAUAAAUACUUUUUCCCAAUCUACUGUCCGUCUUUGCCUUACAAUGACUUAUGCCAUUCAAAUGUUUGUUUAUUCAUGUUCAUGCAGCUAUAAAUAUGUGGACUCCCUGUCUUGCGUACAGAUGCCUGGGCCCGACAAAACAUCCCUGAUAUGUGGCAAGGUGAAGCAGAGAUGCAGAGUGCAAUGUGAAUCUACUAUGCUGAAAACACAAAACGGCCCACCCCCGAGUAUGUGUUGGCAUGCAGCCACAUGCACAUGAAGUGUAGGAAGAAGCAGGCCUGAGUGUGAAUGUAUUAUAGGAAAUUCCAGGAGAACUGAGUAUUAACUAUUUUAUUUUAAAUGCUUAAAAACUUCAAAUAUAGAAAAAUAAAGAUUCUAAAGAAAGUUAAAAUUAACUUAAUAAACCUAAAACU